rnacentral:rRNA from 1 species
AUAUUGGACAAUGGGGGCAACCCUGAUCCAGCCAUGCCGCGUGUGUGAAGAAGGUCUUCGGAUUGUAAAGCACUUUAAGUUGGGAGGAAGGGCUUUAGGCUAAUACCCUGAAGUUGUGACGUUACAAACAGAAUAAGCACCGUCUAACUCUGUGCCAGCAGCCGCGGUAAUACAGAGGGAGCAAGCGUUAAUCGGAAUUACUGGGGGUAAAGCGUGCGUAGGUGGUUCAGGAAGAUGGGGGUGAAAUCCCCGGGCUUAACCUGGGAACUGCUUUCAUAACUGCUGAGCUAGAGUACGGUAGAGGGUAGUGGAAUUUCCUGUGUAGCGGUGAAAUGCGUAGAUAUAGGAAGGAAAACCAGUGGCGAAGGCGACUACCUGGACUGAUACUGACACUGAGGUGCGAAAGCGUGGGGAGCAAACA